rnacentral:rRNA from 1 species
UACGUAGGGUGCGAGCGUUGUCCGGAAUUAUUGGGCGUAAAGAGCUCGUAGGCGGUGUGUCACGUCGGCCGUGAAAACCUGGGGCUUAACUCUGGGCGUGCGGUCGAUACGGGCAGACUAGAGUUCGGUAGGGGAGACUGGAAUUCCUGGUGUAGCGGUGAAAUGCGCAGAUAUCAGGAGGAACACCAAUUGCGAAGGCAGACUCGCUGGGACGUUACUGACGCUGAGACGCGAAAGCGUGGGGAGCAAACAGG